UAGUCCCUUUGGAUAAUUCGAUAAAACUGGAACAAUACAAAAAAAUUAAUUAACAUGGUCCAUGUGCAAGGAUGACACAUAUAAAUCGAGAAAUACUCCAAUUUUCU
rfam:Nicotiana sylvestris Nsyl_contig212395, whole genome shotgun sequence.